AAAAAGACAAGGCCACGAGAUGGCACUAUUGUACAACAAACUUUAUUGGGCAGCCCCUGCACUGGUAUGAGAGGGAAAGUCCCGUAGAGAAAGAACUCACCCAGCAGGGGAAGAAGGCAAGGGAAUUCCUGGGGGAGAGAGGAAUUAGAAAGGAGGCUUAGAGAUCUAGGCAGUGUCGCUCAGCAGCAAGGUGGGAGUCUCCGCGUCAGAGAGCUUUGAAGGGCAGCAGUGGUUUGGGGUCUUUUAUGGCCACAGCGUUUGUCUUACCUAUGGCCAGCAGACAUUAGGUGCAGUUUCAUGGGUUAUACAAAGCAGGCAGGCUCUAAGUGAUUAAAAAUAUGCUCAUAUGGGUUAUAUUUAAAGCAACUGGAUGUGUAAGAAUUUGUAAAAUGUAUAAAAAUGGUAUUUAAAUAUGUGUAGCCUUAAAGCUUGCUAUAAAUUCCUUAUGUUUAUAGGUUAUUGCCCAAUUACAACUGAAUAUUCAAAUUCAAUGAUAUUCAAAUUGCAUUAAUUUUAUGUUAGGGACAGUGAUGUUUUGGUGAAACUAAAUUGCUGUUCUAAAAUGAAUAUUAUACUAACUACUGUGGUAUAGGUUCUUUUGAUUUUGCCUUGGGACGCCUACCCAACCAUAUAGCUUGUGAUGACUCAGUUUUUUCUGAGGAGGGAAUGAGAUCCUAACCCCUGCUCUCUCAUAUUUAGAGGUCUUUAGGGGGUGAUCAGAGGAGCUCCUAUAAAGGUCCCAGGUUAUGCAGACCACUGAGGACUUCAGAUAAAAUUAUCUUGAAAAGAUGUGACCUAGGAGACAUAAGAGCCUCGUGGAUCCUAGAGAAGUGUUGGCCUCAGUAGGAUAUGGCUGAGGGCUGGAUGCUUCUCUGGACCCAGCUUUCUUGGCAAUGUGGGAAACAGUGGUUAAGGAUGAUUGUGCGAUAAAAACAGUUGUAAACUUUGAGUCCCAUGUUGGGCAUCACAGCGGUCCGGGAAGGAUCCAGACAAAUGAGGACAUCCAGCGGUGGUGGACAAGUGAUGUUCUCGGAACCAGUCAGGACAGUCUGAGAAAGGUAUGCAGGACUGUGUGUAGGCUUCUACCUGAGGACUGGACUCACUUCUUCCUGCUCCUGACCCUUUCUCACUCAUUCAGGGUGGCUGUCUCUACGCAGGACCAAAAAGCACCACCUUUUUGACAUCCCGAGGGUCUUCUGGUUAUACAAUAAGAUUGCUCCUCUAUUCCUGACUUUCAUCCAUUCAGCAACUGUUUUGGAGGCUCCUCGGUGCUGAGAUUCCCACCCCGUCCAGGCCAGCCCCUCAGCCCUUUUCAGGUCUCCCGCCAGGUCCCUGAUUGCUCUUCUAGGCCCUGAAGGGAGGGACCCACUGCUAAAUGGGAACUCCACUGGACAGGGGCUGGACCUGUCUCCGGUCUCCAAGGAAAAGGAUGACCUCCGCGGGCUCCGCUGCUCAUUGGCCCGGAUGGGCCCCGCCACUUCACCAAAUACCCAAUGAAAUGGAUGUCCCGUUUCUUGCUCCCGCCUUAGGCUCCGCCUCCUUUCGACUCAGAAACCAGUGGCUCGGGGGAAGACAGGGACCUCAUCUCGCCCCCUGUCUCUUUUCCUCAGCCUUAUCUCGCGGGAACUAGAAAGGAGGAACCACCGAGUUGUGGGGUCCUCCAAGAUUACUAGAGAGAAGCUCAGGGAAGGUACGGGUUGGUAAGUCAGUGUGAUGACGUACUUCCGGCGCAGCCAGUAUUGUUUUUUAGGCGUGAGGCUUUGGCUUGUGAGGACUGGCGAAGCGUCAGCCAAGUUUGUGUUCUGUGGCGAGCCGCAGAGGCCGGCUAGAGCCCACGGAUGGAGGCUUCUUAGUCCACAAAUUGGAGAACGUGGAGUCCUGGAUUUGGAUUGGCCUAUGUGAAUGUUUAAUCUAAGAAUCUCCUGAUGAGUCAUACCCAUCAAGCACCUUAUAUGUGUCCAGUGUUUAGCAUAUAAUUUCCUAUGCACAGUAUUGGAGAUAUGGAGAGAUUGGUUGACAUAGUUCUCUACACGUCCUUUGUUUCACUCUUCUCAUUCCGUUCUCUUAACUUUUACUCACUGUCAUAACGUAAUUGUUAAGGUUUGUAAUCAAUCAGGUUAUACCUUUGGUCCCAGCCAUUAGUGGAGUGUGUUGGGUUGUAAUUUGUUCUCCAUCCAGACUUGUUACUUCUGCUUCACCUCCAGAGCUGUGCUAGGAAAGUAGGAAGGGGUGAUUGUGUUUUGUAGGGUGGCCUCUGCUCCUGUUCUACUUCCAGAUGAGUUGCUUUUCACAGAUUGUCAGUUGUGCAGAUCAGACCUUUUUGCUUAAGUCCGUUUGUUUAAUAUGUCAAUAUUAUUAAGUAUCCACUUCAAAGGACAUUUAUGAUGAAGAUAUGAUGACAGUAUGAUUUAAGAGAAUUAGAGUACACAACUACAAGGGGUACCUCUUUACUCAGUAUGAAUCACUGCUUUUGUUACUCUUGGACAGAAGCUGUCUAUGAAUUUAGCAACAUUACUUGUAUAGGUUUGCGUUGUGUUUUUUUUUUUUUUUAAAGUUCUUCUGUUUACACUUGUAACUACUCUUUUUCCUUAUUGGAAUCCCUGUAACUGCCAAGAUGUGGUUUUUAGCUUCUGACAGCUCUGUUUCCCGGACAGCCUCAGCUUCCUCUACCAAACUGGAUGGCUUUCUGGAUUCACUAAGGAGGGUUAAUGGAGGAAAGGGCAGUGUACUGACUAUAUGAAGUGUUUUGUCAGAUGCUCUUGCAGUACCCUGAGACUUAACAGCAAACUGCUGAUAUGGAGUUGAAUUGGAAGUUGUGGGUUUUUUUGUUUUUU